CUAUAUCACGUUGAAUCACCGGUUCUCGUACGGUUGCCAAAGUUAAGCAACCUCGAGCCUUGUCAGCACCUAGAUUGGUGACUACUUGGGAAUACCAGGUGCUGUA